rnacentral:lncRNA from 1 species
ACAGUAGUUCUCCUAGUGCUACCUUAGCCGAUAUGACGGAACGUAAGGUACCAAAACAUAGGAGCUGGGCAAACCCAACUAUUGACCCAAGACAUGAUUCGGAGCCGAUGCAUAUAAUGAUAUAUGUUCGGGGUGCCGCACUUGUGAAAGUGUUCGGACUUCUCACACCAUGUUGUGGGGUACUUAAGCCCCUGGCGUAUUGGCCAUACCAAAGUGUAUGGGUGCAACAUGUCAUUAAUGAACAUAUAUUCAUAAAAAAGAGGUAAUGCGAUAAUAGACGGAAGCUAUGCAUUGUUUAUUUAAAAAAGCUGCCAUCAAAGCAGAACGAUACAAAUAGUGCGAUAAGCAAAAGAUGGGACUAUCAAAUAUGUCCUUUCCAGGGGCGAGCUGCGGAAUGUUAUGCGAAACAGGUAUACUGCUCGUUAUAGAGACCACCUUAGAGUUCCGUAGUGCGGCGUAGCUUUCUGCUUCCUUGGUUGUAUCAUUUGUGCGGCAAUUGUACUGUCGGACAAGCCUUCCGAAGAAUGGAGUCCUGAAAAUAAGAGAAAAUUUAAGAAAUCAACAGCCCCUAGUGCGGUUUAAGCCGCGUUUUGGGCGUGCCGUGAUGGUGCCCCUCCCCCUGUGCCCAUGGUAUUUCUAGAGCGUAGUUAUGUACGCGCGACACUGGUUUCGCAAGUUCGCGAGGGCUGGGGUUGGGGCCGCAUUGCUACACUUGCUCGGAACGUGCCAGGCGGUCUUGUUGUAGGUUACUCCGGGCGCGCUUGACGGUGUCCAGACGUUUAAUGGCCGGACUGAAGAAUUGCCUUGAGAGGCUGCUUUGUACUUCCGCUACGAUAGCCGCCGUAUGCUCCUCCGUUCGGUGAGAGCGUUCGGUGUUUCCAUUGACCGUGAUGACGCCUCGAGGGCCUGGCAUCUUGAGCUUGAGGUAUGCGUAGUGCGGCACCCAUUGAACUUGGGAAAUGCGGUUCGCCCGAGCAGUGCGUGAUAGCCACUACGGAACGGGACUAUGUCGAAGAUUAACUCCUCGCUUCGGAAAUUAUCCGGAGAUCCGAAGACCACUUCAAGUGUAACUGAGCCUGUACAGUUGGCUUCUACACCUGGUAUGACGCCUUUAAAGGUCGUUUUGGUGGGUUUAAUCCUCGAGGGAUCGAUGCCCAUUUUCCGCACUGUAUCCUGAUAAAGCAGGUUCAGGCUGCUGCCGCCGUCCAUAAGGACUCUAGCGAGGUGAAAUCCAUCAAUAAUUAGGUCUAGACCAAUGCGGCGAAUCCGCCAUGAUGGAUGCUAGUGGGGUGGUCCCUUUGAUCAAAAGUGAUCGGGCAGGAAGAACUUUGGGGCGACUGGCUCCAUCGCGUAUACGUCCCUUAGCACACGCUUCCGCUCCCUCUUGGGGACGUGGAUUGCGUAUAUCAUGUUCACCGUCCGCAUUGUGGGGGAAAACCUUUCUGUCCACUGUUGUUCGGCGGCCGGGGCUCCUCCUCGUCAUCGCUAUGCAGCCCCUUGUCUCUGCUUUCGGCAUUUAACUUGCCUGCUUGCUUGAACACCCAACAAUCCCUGUUGGUGUGAUUGGCUGGUUUUUCGGGGGUGCCAUGUAUCUGGCAUGAGCGGUCGAGUAUUCGGUCCAAACUAGACGGGCCCGGAGUAUUUCUUUUGAAUGGCUUUUUCCGCUGACCAGGUUUAGAGCCUCUGAAUCCGGCAUUAACUGCCGUAUCCUCAGCAUUGUCGCUGUUAAUGCAGCGCUUUUGCUUGUUGCGACGCAACCUGCCACUGCUGUCCUUGGUAUCCGAAUUACCAGGGCUCUUGGUCAUGUUAUUGCUGUGAGCUAGCCAGCUGUCUUCUCCCGCGCAAAAGCGGGUCAUAAGUGUCGUGAGGGCUGCCAUAGAUUUUGGCUUUUCCUGUCCUAGGUGCCGUGCAAGCCACUCGUCGCGGAUGUUAUGCUUGAAGGCUGCUAGGGCCUCUGCGUCCGGACAGUCGACAAUUUGAUUUUUCUUGGUUAGGAACCGUGUCUAGAAUUGUCUGGCCGAUUCCUCUGGCUACUGAAUUAUGUGGCUUAGGUCGUCGGCAUCUGGUGGUCGCACAUAAGUGCCUUGUAAAUUUUCGAGGAGUGCGGCUUCCAGGUCCUCCCAACAACCAAUUGAUUCUGCUGGCAAGCUGUUAAGCCAAUGCCGAGCUGGUCCUUUAAGCUUGAGUGAGAGGUAUUUGAUGGCGUGUAAGUCAUCACCGCGGGCUGUGUGGAUAUGAAGGAGAUAGUCCUCGAUCCAUACCGCAGGAUCAGUUGUGCCAUCAUAUGAUUCGAUGUUCACGGGUUCGAAACCCUCGGGGAUUUGAUAAUCCAUUACUUCAUCUGUGAAGCAUAGUGGGUGUGCGGCGCCUCUGUACUGGGCUAUAUCACAACGCAGCUCAAACGAGCUUUGUCUACUGUGUUCGGCCCGACCGGAUUUACUAUAUCCGGCGUGACGAGUACCGUCUCGUGCCGUGGGGUGCCCACGUGAUCCGUAGAUCGAUCUUGUUUGCCUUGCCUUGUCCUCCAAUAUGUCUCGCAGGUCUGGCGCAUUUUCCCAUGCCUUGGUAUUUUUUGAGCGGCACCGGGGUGCGCUUGAGUGGUGGGCCGAGAGGCCUCUCUGUCGCGGCCACGGGGUGGCCGGUCGGCUGCAUCAUGUUCGACGGGAUCCUCCGGCACGACAAAUUCGUCGUCGUCGAGGCUUGCCUCGUCUUCGGAGGGAGGCAUAUAAUUAUCGUCCUCGACCUCUCUGUCUGCCGCUCUCUCAUGAGGGCUGGCUUCUCUAUCCUCCCGUGCCGAAUCUUGCUGGAGGUGGUUGUCUUCGACACUGUCCGGGGUGUUAUUAUCCCCCGUGCCGGAAUCACCAUUUUUGUUUUGGCGGGAUUUAGAGCGGCGCCGCUGACGCCGGCGCUUAGGCUGCUUCUUGGAGGGGUCAUCCUCCGUUGUUCCAUCGCCAUUGCCUUCUUUUGGGGUGUCCACCAUGUAUAUAUCAUAUGAUGAGGUGGCUUUCUAGUGCCCUAUAGGCGCUGGUUCUUGAUUGUCUCCUGCAUCGGCGUCCAUACCAUCGAUGUCUUCGGAGUCGAAGUCGAGCAUGUCAGUUAAAUCAUCGACAGUGGCUACGAAGUGGGUGGUGGGUGGGCUUUGAAUUUCUUCAUCAUCUGCAUCCCAACCUUGCCAACCAUAGUCCGGCCAGGGCUCUCCUGACAAAGAGAGAGACUUUAGUGAAUUCAGAAUAUCGCCGAAGGGCGAGUGCUGAAAGAUGUCCGCGGCGGUGAACUCCAUGAUCGGCGCCCAAUCGGGUUCGAUCGGUCGGGGCGUAGAGGGCUCGGAGUCCGGAGAGGAUUCCGGCUCCUUGGAGUCACGGGCUUCGCAGAGAAUAGGGCUGGUGUUUGGCUCGAUCACCGUAGAGAUUGCAGCCCCCGAGGCAGUGUCUAACCACCCAUCCUCGGUUGGUGUGAUCGGCUCUGAGCUAGGGGUCGAAGCGGACACAAGUGCGGCCUCCAGGGCACUGUUUGGCGGUAGAGCUAAAUCAUGCCCAUCAUGACAGUGUGGCGCGCUCGGCUGUGGCUCGAAUCCGUCGAAGAUCAAGUCUCCGCGGAUGUCAGUCGUGUAGUUCAAACUUCCAAAUCUGACCUAAUGGCCAGGGGCGUAGCUUUCGAUCUGCUCUAGAUGACCAAGUGAAUUGGCCCGCAGUGCAAAGCCGCCGAAUACGAAGAUCUGUCCGGGGAGAAAAGUCUCAUCCUGGAUCGCAUCGCUGUUGAUGAUCGGAGAAGCCAUCGGGCCUAAAAGCGACGACACAGAGGAACUCUCAAUGUAAGCACCAAUGUCGGUGUCAAAACCGGCGGAUCUCGGGUAGGGGGUCCCGAACUGUGCGUCUAGGUCGGAUGGUAACAGGACGCAGGGGACACGAUGUUUUACCCAGGUUCGGGCCCUCUUGAUGGAGGUAAAACCCUACAUCCUGCUUGAUUAAUAUUGAUGAUAUGAGUAGUACAAGAGUAGAUCUACCACGAGAUCAGAGAGGCUAAACCCUAGAAGCUAGCCUAUGGUAUGAUUGUUCUUCGUCCUAUGGACUAAAACUCUCUGGUUUAUAUAGACACCGGAGAGGGCUAGGGUUACACAGAGUCGGUUACAAUGGUAGGAGAUCUACAUAUCCGUAUCGCCAAGCUUGCCUUCCACGCCAAGGAAAGUCCCUUCCGAACACGGGACGAAGUCUUCAAUCUUGUAUCUUCAUAGUCCAGGAGUCCGGCCGAAGGUAUAGUCCGGCCAUCCGGACACCCCCUAAUCCAGGACUCCCUCAAUGGAUGAGAGACCAAUCAUUUUAAUCUCUUCAUCAUGAUUAUUGUGCGAAAACAACUCCGGUUUAGCAGCCAUUUUAUUCACUAGUGUAGUCUGCUUAUCGGAGAUUUUUCCUAACAGAUUUUCUGUAUGAGCAAGCUGAGAUUGAAGAUUGGCAACUUCUUUAUUAACUUCAUCAUGUUUCUUACCAAUAGCAUCCAAGAAAGUAGAGUGUUCUUUAACUUAUUCAACAAAGAAUUUGUUGUGUUCAUGUUGUGUAAAUAUAAAAUUCUUAGUGGUAUUCUCAAUUUCUGCCAAACUUUUAUGGUGAGAAUUAUCAUAGUAAUGUUCUCGAGACAUAGCGACGAAGCAAGAAAACAAGGAAAAUAAAAAUAUUUUUGUGUUUUUGUAAAAUUGUUUUAGAAGUGGGGGAGAUGAAAACGAGAGGCAACUGGCAACUGGAAAGGCAAAUAAAAGUAAGAGCAGGUAGAUGAUAGUUUAUGCAAAGGUACUUGAUAGGUUUUGGUGAUGUCUCCCGGGCAAUGGUGCCAGAAAUUCUCCCAGCUACUUGUGAGCUGCUUUGAGAUUUCCUUGACCAGGAGAAGAUGAUGCAGUAUAGUAGAGAUAAGUAUUUCCCUCAGUUAAGAACCUAGGUUAUCAAUCCAGUAGGAGAAUCUCACAGAACCUUGUUAGCAGCACCUAUACACAGAAAAGCAAAUACUUGCACCCAACGCGAACAAGGGGGUUGUCAAUCCCCUCGGCGGUUAUUUGCAUGGAUUAGAUCUCAUAGUGGUAGAUAGAUAAAUUAAAUUGCUAAAUAAAAUUGCAGCAAAGUAUUUUUGGAUUUUAUAUAUGAUAAAAGCACCCUGGGGCCAUAGUUUUCACUAGAGGCUUCUCUCUCGAACACAAAGCAUACGGUGGGUGAAGAAAUUACUGUUGAGCAAUUGAUAGAAAAUCGCAUAGUUAUGACGAUAUUCAUGGUAAUGAUCAUGUAUAUAGGCAUCACGUUCGAGACAAGUAUACUAACUCCUGCCUGCAUCUACUACUAUUACUCCAUCCAUCGAGCACUAUCUAGCAUGCAUCAAGGGUAUUAAGUUAUAAAAACGGAGUAAUGCCUUAAGCAAGAUGACAUGAUCUAGAGAAAGUAAACCCCAAAAUAUGAAUAGACCCCAUCUUUUUAUCCUUAAUGGCAACAAUACGAAUACGUGUCAUGUCCCUUUCUGUCACUGGGAUUGAGCACCGCAAGAUUGAACCCAUCACAAAGCACAUCUCUCAUUGCAAGAAAAAUCAAUCUAGUUGACCAAACCAACAGAUAGAUCGAAGAGUAAUACAAUGCUAUAACAAUAAUGCAUAAAAGAAUUUAGAGAAGACUCAAUUAAUAUUCAUGAAUAAUCUGAUCAUAAAUCCACAAUUCAUCGAAUCCCAACAAACACACUACAAAAUAAUAUUACAUCAAAUAGAAGUCCAAGAAUAUCGAGGAGAACAUUGUAUUGAAGAUCAUAGAGAGAGAAGAACUCAUCUAGCUACUAGCUAUGGACCCGUAGAUAUGUGGUGAACUACUCACGCAUCAUCAGAAGGGCAACAAGGAUGAUGUAGAAGUCCUCCGUGAUCCAUUCCCCCUCCGGCAGAGUACCGGAGAAGGCCUCCAGAUGGGAUCUCGGAAGAACAAAAACUUACGGGGGUAGAAAAAGUGUUUCGGUGGCUCUCUGAUGUAUUGUGAAUAUUUGAGACUUUAUAGAGGCGGAAUUAGGUCAAGAUGUGCCAUGAGGGGCCCAUGAUACGUCUCCAACGUAUCUAUAAUUUUUGAUUGUUCCAUGCUAUUAUAUUAUCUGUUUUGGAUGUUUUAUAUGCAUUAAUAUGCUAUUUUAUAUGAUUUUUGGGACUAACCUAUUAACCUAGAGCCAAGUGCCAGUUUCUGGUUUUCCCUUGUUUUAGAGUUACGCAGAAAAGGAAUACCAAACAGAGUCCAAACGGAAUAAAACUUUCGCGAUGAUUUUUCUUGUACCAGAAGACAGCCGGGAGACUUGGAGUGCAAGUUAGAAGAGCCACAAGGCAGCCACAAGGGUCGAGGGCGCCCCCCCCCCCGACCUUGUGGGCGCCUCGGUGACCCCCUGACCUAGAUCUUCCUCCUAUAUAUUCUCAAAUACCCCAAAAACUAAGGCGUUACUCCGUUCUUGUCAUCUUGCUUAAGGCGUUACUCUGUUCUUUAUGAACUUAAUACUCUAGAUGCAUGCUGGAUAGCGGUCGAUGUGUGGAGUAAUAGUAGUAGAUGCAGAAUCGUUUCGGUCUACUUGACACGGACGUGAUGCCUAUAUUCAUGAUCAUUGCCUUAGAUAUCGUCAUAACUUUGCGCUUUUCUAUCAAUUGCUCGACAGUAAUUUGUUCACCCACCGUAAUAAUUUCUAUCUUGAGAGAAGCCUCUAGUGAAACCUAUGGACCCCGGGUCUAUUUUCCAUCAUAUAAGUUUCCGAUCUAUAAUUUUAGUUUCUGAUUUACUUUUUUUGCAAUCUUUUAGUUUCCAAUCUAUAAACCAAAAAUAUUACUUUACCGUUUAUCCAUCUCUAUCAAAUCUCACGUUGCAAAUAACUGUCAAGGGAUUGACAACCCCUUUAUCGCAUUGGGUGCAAGGUUGUUGUUUGUUUAUGCAGGUAUUCGGUGGCUUGUUGCAUUGUCUCCUGCUGGAUUGAUACCUUGGUUCUCAAAAGCUGAGGGAAAUACUCACUCUACUUUGCUGCAUCACCCUUUCCUCUUCAAGGGAAAAACCAAUGCAAGCUCAAGAGGUAGCAGCCAACAAGCCCAGGGGCAUGCCUGGUGAGCUUGUCGCUCCCUCGUGGCUCAUCUGGUCUUCUCCCGAACCUUCUGGGGUCUCUUGGUCCAGAAAAAACCAUCAAAAAGUUUCAUAGAGUUUGGACUCUGUUUGGUACUGAUUUCCUGAAAAUCCAAAACAAGCAAAAAUCAACAACUGGCACCGGGCACUAGGUUAAUAGGUUAGUCCUAAAAAAUGAUAUACAAUUGCAUAUAAAACAUCUAGGAUUGAUACUAUAAUAUCAGGGAACAAUAAAAAAUUAUAGAUAUGUUGGAGAUGUAUCAGUGGGCGAUGUUCACGAGGCUUUCGUGAUUCUCCUAUUGGUUCGAUAAAUCUUGGUUCUCAUUGAGGGAAAUACUUAUCUCUACUGUACUGCAUCUCACCUCCCUUUUUGGAGAAAAUCCCAAACGCAGCUCACAAGUAGCAUUGAUCUUGUUAUUCUUGGAGUUGUGAGGACUCCUAGACAUUUAGAAUACUUAUGGAAGAAUCCAAGUUUUGGACCAAAUAAGUUUGUGAAGAUUUGGAGGCUACCUCAGGUUUGAGCUCCUACUUUGUGUGGGAAGCUCAAAAGAGAAGAAAGCAAGACAUUGUGUUGUUGGGGGUACUUGAAGUUUGCCACGCCUCUCCAACGGAGAAUAGAACUCCCACAAUAGUAUGAAAUUGGGAUAAAUCCUUCGUCUCUGACUUGUGAUUAUCUCUUCCUUCACCUUUACUUUCGUAAAUUAUUUCUAGCUUUGUUUAUAUAUGUAUCUUGUGUUGCUAUCUUUAUCCUAUCAUAUAGGUUGUAUCACAUAGUUGCACAUUUGUAGAUCUAAUUUCACCCACAUUCCCCUGAAUUUGAAAUAAAAGAUAAACUUUGUAGCCGCCUAUUCACCCCCCUUGAUUCGACAUCUUAGAUCAUUCAGUUAACAACAUGUGUUGCAAACUAAUAAUUUAUUGAGCGAUCUCUUAGAAGCAUUCAUCUCAGUUAUCGCCAAGUGUACAUGUACAUUUUAGACCCUUUCCUCUAAAAUAUGAACAUGCCUAAUUGAUAAUUGUUUGAUAUUUGUUGCCAUAUCAAUUGAGUUAUGGACCAUUGAUUUUCCCCAUUCACUCCACCAGUGCUCUAUAUAAGCCAAACAUGAAUCCCUAACCCUAGAUACUCCCCAUCCCCACACCCUAUGCGCACAUCCUCCCCGCCGCCAUGUUGUUGUUACCCUUGAUGUUAGUACAACCACACGAGAUCUCCCCUCCUAAAUUAUGGGAUCUAAAACGAAGAGCGGCAAUGACACCAGACUUCAUCUCAUCCUUCCUUGCCUGCUCGUCGUCGUUCUAUUUGUAACCUUCAUCGUUAGGUUUGGAUUCCUCGUCGCCCAUGAUAAAAUUCACCACCUAUUAUCAUUGCAACCACCAGGCUUUCCUCAUGAACCCUCUUGGUGUCUCUCUCGCUAUCUCUCCUACUCAAUGUUAAGCCAUCAAGACCCUUAUUUUGAACCCUAGAAGCUGUUGGGUCCUAAAUCAAACUUUUAUGCUUGCCCCUAAAAAAAGCUCUGUGGAUAUGAAGACAAAGUUGUUGUGAAGAAAAUGAAGGUAUACAAUCUUACAAAUACAAAAUAUAUUAAGCAAUAUGUUUAUAUAUUAGUCGUAUAGUCAUCCCAUCAAUUUGAGUUUGCGAAUAAAGAUGUCCAUAUAAUUGUGUUCCCUGGAUUUUUUUGGAUGAAAAUUUAUCGCUGCAACAUCAAAACCAAUCCCUUUUGUUUGGUAUGAUUCGAGAGAUCACACAUUUUUCACAUCUCUAUAGGGUAGUAGUGUUUCCUUCCUUCUUCUUUCUUCUUGUUGUAGUCACUUGCUUUUCCCACAAAACAAACUAUUCACGUGUUCACUAGCUUUUACUGUCUAUAUGUAUGUGUAGAUCUUAUUAUCACAUCUUCGUACAAUAAUUUCUUUUCCUCCCUUCCUUCUUUCUGUUUGUUAUAGUCACAUUGACGAGGAAGAGUUGUCCGAUUGACGAGACAUGAUGUCGAGUGUGUACCACCACAUAACCCUAGCCGCUAUGUAAGAGUUGACAUAUGUGUUCCUUUAGAAAAUUCAAACUUCAUUAACCCCAACCUUUGUAGUAACUAGGAUGCGUGCAACCAUAUUAUUAUAAAACCAAUAAAACAGGAAGAAAAGAUCGAGUAUUUGAGUGAAUAGAGAGCAAGAAAUUGAAAAGGGCAAAUGGGAUGUGCCAAGUCCUAACAUAAUAUAUGUUUCUUGUAAGAUCAAUGUUUUGCAAUAAAAAGAAGACACCGAGGGUCUCACUUGCUUCAUCAAUGGUGAGAUCGAUAACCUGAGUUAGAUCUUCAACUCUACCUUGAUAGACCGUCCUUUAAUCAUUUUCACAAAAAUAAAUUAUCAGAGAUCAAAAACUAUUUGGUGGAUUUCCAAUUUUUUUUGCUUGCGAGGUAACAUAGAAAACCUUUCAUUAAGAUAUGAGUGGACCACUACUUGAGCUACUGCAACAUCUCAAUUCAUCCAUUCUUUUAGCAUGAAAGCUUGUUUAGACACACUUGUUUAAGUAUUCCAAGUUGUGGAUUGAUAUCCACAGAAGUUUGCGAAGAUUUGGGGGCUACCUCGAGGUUUACCACUGGAGAUUUGAGCUCCUACUUUGUGUGGGAAUCUCAACAGAGAAGAAGGCGAGACUUUGUGUUGUUGGUGGUACUUGGUCUUCGCCAUGAAUCUCCACCAUAGAUUAUAACUCCCCCAAGAGUGUGAACUUGGGAUAAAUCAUUCGUCUCUGACUUGUGGUUAUCUCUGCCUCCACCAUUUCUUUUGUAAAUUAUUGCUAGCUUUGUUUACUUGCGCAUCUAAUGUACCUAGCGUUAUCCUGUCAUACAGGUUUGUAUCAUGUAUUUGCACAUGUGCAUAACUAACUUCAUCCACAUUCACCUAUUGCAAAUAAAAGCUAAAAUUUUGUAGUCGCCUACCCCCCUAACUGUUGGGGAACGUAGCAGAAUUUUAAAAUUUUCUACGCAUCACCAAGAUCAAUCUAUGGAGUCAUCUAGCAACGAGGGAGAGGGGAGUGCAUCUACAUACCCUUGUAGAUCGCGAGCGGAAGCGUUCAAGAGAACGGGGUUGAUGGAGUCGCACUCGUCGUGAUCCAAAUCACCGAUGACCUAGUGCCGAACGGACGGCACCUCUGCGUUCAACACACGUACGGUUGGGAAGACGUCUCCUCCGUCUUGAUCCAGCAAGGUUAAAGGAGAGGUUGAUGGAGAUCCAGCAGCACGACGGCGUGGUGAUGGAAGCAACAGCGAUCUCGGCAGGGCUUCGCCAAGCUUACCGAGAGGGAGAGGUGUCACGGGAGGGAGAGGGAGGCGCCAAGGGCUAGGGUGCGGCUGCCCUCCCUCCCCCCACUAUAUAUAGGACCCCUAGGGGGGCGCCGGCCCUAGGAGAUCCAAUCUCCAAGGGGGGCGGCGGCCAAGGGGGGUGGCUUGCCCCCCAAGCCAAGUGGGGCGCCCCCCACCCCUAGGGUUUCCAACCCUAGGCGCAGGGGAGGCCCAAGGUGGGCGCACCAGCCCAUCAGGGGCUGGUUCCCCUCCCACUUCAGCCCAUGGGGCCCUCCGAGACAGGUGGCCCCACCCGGUGGACCCUUGGGACCCUUCCGGUGGUCCCGGUACAAUACCGGUGACACCCGAAACUUUCCCAAUGGCCGAAACUGGACUUCCUAUAUAUAAUUCUUCACCCCCGGACCAUUCCGGAACUCCUCGUGACGUCCGGGAUCUCAUCCGGGACACCGAACAACUUUCGGGUUACCGCAUACUAAUAUCUCAACAACCCUAGCAUCAUCGAACCUUAAGUGUGUAGACCCUACGGGUUCGGGAGACACGCAGACAUGACCGAGAUGACUCUCCGGUCAAUAACCAAUGGCGGGAUCUGGAUACCCAUGUUGGCUCCCACAUGCUCCUCGAUGAUCUCAUCGGAUGAACCACGAUGUUGAGGAUUCAAUCAAUCCCGUAUACAAUUCCCUUUGUCAAUGGUACGUUACUUGCCCGAGACUCGAUCGUCGGUAUCCCAAUACCUUGUUCAAUCUCGUUAUCGGCAAGUCACUUUACUCGUACCGUAAUGCAUGAUCCCAAGAUCAACCACUUGGUCACAUUGAGCUCAUUAUGAUGAUGCAUUAUCGAGUGGGCCCAGAGAUACCUCUCCGUCAUACGGAGUGACAAAUCCCAGUCUCGAUUCGUGCCAACCCAACAGACACUUUCGGAGAUACCCGUAGUGCACCUUUAUAGUCACCCAGUUACGUUGUGACAUUUGGCACACCCAAAGCACUCCUACGACAUCUUGGAGUUGCACAAUCUCAUGGUCUAAGGAAAUGAUACUUGACAUUCGGAAAAGCUAUAGCAAACGAACUACACGAUCUUUGAGCUAUGCUUAGGAUUGGGUCUUGUCCAUCACAUCAUUCUCCUAAUGAUGUGAUCCCGUUAUCAAUGACAUCUAAUGUCCAUAGUCAGGAAACCAUGACUAUCUUUUGAUCAACGAUCUAGUCAACUAGAGGCUCACUAGGGACGUGUUGUGGUCUAUGUAUUCACACAUGUAUUACGAUUUCCGGAUAACACAAUUAUAGCAUGAAAAAUAGACAAUUAACAUGAACAAGGAAAUAUAAUAAUCACUAUUUUAUUAUUGCCUCUAGGGCAUAUUUCCAACAAUCUCCCACUUGCACUAGAGUCAAUAGUCUAGUUACAUUGUGAUGAAUCGAACACCCAUAGAGUUCUGGUGUUGAUCAUGUUUUGCUCUAGGAAGAGGUUUAGUCAACGGAUCUUCUACAUUCAGGUCCGUACGUACUUUACAAAUAUCUACGUCUCCAUUUUGAACACUUCCACGAAUGGAAUUGAAGCGACGCUUGAUAUGCCUGGUCUUCCUGUGAAACCUGGGCUCCUUGGCAAGGGUAAUAGCUCCAGUGUUGUCACAGAAGAGAGUCAUCGGGCCCGACGCAUUGGGAAUGACUCCUAGGUCGGUAAUGAACUCCUUCACCUAGAUUGCUUCUUGUGCUGCCUCCGAGGCUGCCAUGUACUCCGCUUCACAUGUAGAUCCCGCCACAACACUUUGCUUGCAAUUGCACCAGCUUACUGCCCCACCAUUCAAAAUAUACACGUAUCUGGUUUGUGACUUAGAGUCAUCCAGAUCUGUGUCGAAGCUAGCAUCGACGUAACCCUUUACGACGAGCUCUUCGUCACCUCCAUAAACGAGAAACAUAUCCUUAGUCCUCUUUAGGUACUUCAUGAUAUUCUUGACCGCUGUCCAGUGUUCCAUGCCGGGAUUACUUUGGUACCUUCCUACCAAACUUACGGCAAGGUUUACAUCAGGUCUGGUACACAGCAUAGCAUACAAGAUAGACCCUAUGGCCGAGGCAUAGGGGACGACACUCAUCUUUUCUCUAUCUUCUGCCGUGGUCGGGCAUUGAGCCGUGCUCAAUCUCGUACCUUGCAACACAGGCAAGAACCCCUUCUUUGACUGAUCCAUACUGAACUUCUUCAAUAUCUUGUCAAGGUACGUACUCUCUGAAAGACCAAUGAGGCGUCUCGAUCUAUCUCUAUAGAUCUUGAUGCCUAAUAUGUAAGCAGCUUCUCCAAGAUCCUUCAUUGAAAAACACUUUUUCAAGUAGGCCUUUAUGUUUUCCAAGAAUUCUAUAUCAUUUCCCAUCAACAGUAUGUCAUCUACAUACAAUAUGAGAAAUGCUACAGAGCUCCCACUCACUUUCUUGUAAAUGCAGGCUUCUCCAUAAGUCUGUGUAAACCCAAACGCUUUGAUCAUCUCAUCAAAACGAAUGUUCUAACUCCGAGAUGCUUGCACCAGCCCAUAGAUCGAGCGUUGGAGCUUGCACACCUUGUCAGCAUUCUUAGGAUCGACAAAACCUUCUGGCUGCAUCAUAUACAAUUCUUCCUUAAGGAAACCAUUAAAGAAUGCCGUUUUGACAUCCAUUUGCCAUAUCUCAUAAUCAUAGAAUGCGGCAAUUGCUAACAUGAUUCAUAUGGACUUCAGCUUCGCUACGGGUGAGAAAGUCUCAUCGUAGUCAACCCCUUGAACUUGUUGAUAACCCUUAGCGACAAGCCGAGCUUUAUAGAUGGUUACAUUACCAUCCGCGUCUGUCUUCUUCUUAAAGGUCCAUUUAUUUUCUAUGGCUCGCCGAUCAUUAGGCAAGUCAGUCAAUGUCCAUACUUCGUUUUCGUACAUGGAUCCUAUCUCGGAUUUCAUGGCUUCCAGCCAUUUGUCGAAAUUUGGGCCCUCCAUCGCUUCCUCAUAGUUCGAAGGUUCACCAUUGUCUAACAGCAUGAUUUCCAAGACAGGGUUGCCGUACCACUCUGGUGCAGAACCUGUCCUUGUGGACCUACAAAGUUCAGUAGCAACUUGAUCUGAAGUUUCAUGAUCAUCAUCAUUAACUUCCUCUCUAGUCGGUGCAGGCACCUCAGGAACAUUUUCUUGAGUUGCGCCACUUUCCGGUUCAAGAGGCAAUACUUCAUCAAGUUCUACUUUCCUCCCACUUACUUCUUUCGAGAGAAACUCUUUCUCUAGAAAGGAUCCAUUCUUGGCAACAAAGAUCAUGCCUUCGGAUCUGAGGUAGAAGGUAUACCCAAUAGUUUCUUUAAGGUAUCCUAUGAAGACGCACUUUUCUGCCUUGGGUUCGAGCUUUUCAGGUUGAAGUUUCUUGCCAUAAGCAUCGCAUCCCCAAACUUUUAGAAACGACAGCUUAGGUUUCUUCCCAAACCAUAAUUCAUACGGUGUCGUCUCAACGGAUUUCAAUGGAGCCCUAUUUAAAGUGAAUGCGGCAGUCUCUAAAGCAUAGCCCCAAAAUGAUAGCGGUAGAUCGGUAAGAGACAUCAUAGAUCGCACCAUAUCCAAUAGAGUGUGAUUACGAUGUUCGGACACACCAUUACGCUGAGGUGUUCCAGGCGGCGUGAGUUGUGAAACUAUUCCACAUUUCCUUAAGUGUGUGCCAAAUUCGUGACUCAAGUAUUCUCCCCCCAUGAUCUGAUCGCAAGAACUUGAUUUUCCUAUCACGUUGAUUCUCAACCUCACUCUGAAAUUCGUUGAACUUUUCAAAGGUCUCAGACUUGUGUUUCAUUAAGUAGACAUACCCAUAUCUACUCAAGUCAUCCGUGAGGGUGAGAACAUAACGAUAGCCACCACGAGCCUCAAUACUCAUUGGACCGCACACAUCAGUAUGUAUGAUUUCCAAUAAGUUGGUUGCUCGCUCCAUUGUUCCUGAGAACGGAGUCUUGGUCAUUUUACCCAUGAGACAUGGUUCGCACGUGUCAAAUGAUUCGUAAUCAAGAGACUCCAAAAGUCCAUCUGCAUGGAGCUUCUUCAUGCGUUUGACACCUAUGUGACCAAGGCGGCAGUGCCACAAGUAUGUGGGACUAUCAUUAUCAACCUUACAUCUUUUGGUAUUCACACUAUGAAUAUGUGUAACAUUACGCUCGAGAUUCAUUAAGAAUAAACCAUUCACCAGCGGGGCAUGACCAUAAAACAUAUCUCUCAUAUAAAUAGAACAACCAUUAUUCUCGGAUUUAAAUGAGUAGCCAUCUCGAAUUAAACGAGAUCCUGAUACAAUGUUCAUGCUCAAAGCUGGCACUAAAUAACAAUCAUUGAGGUUUAAAACUAAUCCCGUAUGUAAAUGUAGAGGUAGCGUGCCGACGGCGAUCACAUCGACCUUGGAACCAUUCCCGACGCGCAUCAUCACCUCGUCCUUCGCCAGUCUCCGCUUAUUCCGCAGCUCUUGCUUUGAGUUACAAAUGUGAGCAACUGCACUGGUAUCAAAUACCCAGGAGCUACUACGAGUACUGGUAAGGUACACGUCAAUUACAUGUAUAUCACAUAUACCUUUAGUAUUGCCGGCCUUCUUGUCCGCUAAGUAUUUGGGGCAGUUCCGCUUCCAGUGACCACUUCCCUUGCAAUAAAAACACUCGGUGUCGGGCUUGGGUCCAUUCUUUGGCUUCUUCCCGGCAGCUUGGUUACCGGGCGCGGCAACCCCCUUGCCGUCCUUCUUGAAGUUCUUCUUACCCUUGCCUUUCUUAAACUUAGUGGUUUUAUUCACCAUCAACACUUGAUGUUCCUUUUUGACCUCCACCUCUGCUGAUUUCAGCAUUGAAUAUACUUCAGGAAUGGUCUUUUCCAUCCCCUUCAUAUUGAAGUUCAUCACAAAGCUCUUGUAGCUCGGUGGAAGCGACUGAAGUAUUCUGUCAAUGACCGCGUCAUCCGGGAGAUUAACUCCCAGCUGAGUCAAGCGGUUAUGCAACCCAGACAUUUUGAGUAUGUGCUCACUGACAGAAUUAUUUUCCUCCAUCUUACAACUGAAGAACUUGUCGGAGAAUUCAUAUCUCUCGACCCGGACAUGAGCUUGGAAAACCAUUUUCAGCUCUUUGAACAUCUCAUAUGCUCUGUGUUGCUCAAAACGCUUUUGGAGCCCCGGUUCUAAGUUGUAAAGCAUGCCGCACUGAACGAGGGAGUAAUCAUCAGCACGUGACUGCCAAGCGUUCAUAACGUCUUGGUUCUCCGGGAUGGGUGCGUCACCUAGCGGUGCUUCUAGGACAUAAUCUUUCUUGGCAGCUAUGAGGAUGAUCCUCGGGUUCCGGACCCAGUCCGUAUAGUUGUUGCCAUCAUCUUUCAGCUUGGUUUUCUCUGGGAACACGUUGAAGUUGAGGGCAACAUUAGCGUGGGCCAUUUGAUCUACAAGACAUAAUGUAAAGAUUUUAGACUAAGUUCAUGAUAAUUAAGUUCAUCUAAUCAAAUUAUUCAAUGAACUCCCACUCAGAUAGACAUCCCUCUAGUCUUCUAAGUGAAACAUGAUCCGAGUCAACUAGGCCGUGUCCGAUCAUCACGUCAGAUGAACUAGUCAACAUCGGUGAACAUCUUCAUGUUGAUCGUAUCUUCUAUACGACUCAUGCUUGACCUUUCGGUCUUCCGUGUUCUGAGGCCAUGUCUGUACAUGCUAGGCUCGUUAAGUCAACCUAAGUGUAUUGCGUGUGUAAAUCUGGCUUACACCCGUUGUAUUCGAACGUUAGAAUCUAUCACACCCGAUCAUCACGUGGUGCUUCGAAACAACGAACCUUCGCAACAGUGCAUAGUUAGCGGGAACACUUUCUUGAAAUUAUUACUAGGGAUCAUCUUAUUUAAGCUACCAUCGUUCUAAGCAAAUAAGAUGUAAAACAUGAUAAACAUCACAUGCAAUCAAAUAGUGACAUGAUAUGGCCAAUAUCAUUUGCUCCUUUUGAUCUCCAUCUUCGGGGCGCCAUGAUCAUCGUCGUCACCGGCAUGACACCAUGAUCUCCAUCAUCAUGAUCUCCAUCAUCGUGUCUUCAUGAAGUUGUCUCUUCAUCUAUUACUUCUACAACUAUGGCUAACAGUUUAGCAAUAAAGUAAAGUAAUUACAUGACAUUAUAUGUUGACACGCAGGUCAUUAAUAAAUUAAGACAACUCCUAUGGCUCCUACCGGUUGUCAUACUCAUCGACAUGCAAGUCGUGAUUCCUAUUACAAGAACAUGAUCAAUCUCAUACAUCACAUAUAUCAUUCAUCACAUCCUGUUGGCCAUAUCACAUCACACGGCACAUGCUGCAAAAACAAGUUAGAUGUCCUCUAAUUGUUGUUGCAAGUUUUUACGUGGCUGCUAUAGGUUUCUAGCAAGAACAUUUCUUACCUACGCCAAAACCACAACGUGAUAUGCCAAUUUAUAUUUACCCUUCAUAAGGACCCUUUUCAUCGAAUCUGAUCCGACUAAAGUGGGAGAGACAGACACCCGCUAGCCACCUUAUGCAACUAGUGCAUGUCAGUCGGUGGAACCAGUAUCACAUAAGCGUACGUGUAAGGUCGGUCCGGGCCGCUUCAUCCCACGAUGCCGCCGAAUCAAGAUAAGACUAGUAACGGCAAGUAAAUUGACAAUAUCGACACCCACAACUGCUUUGUGUUCUACUCGUGCAUAGAAACUACACAUAGACCUAGCUCAUGAUGCCACUGUUGGGGAAUGUAGUAGAAUUUUAAAAUUUUCUACGCAUCACCAAGAUCAAUCUAUGGAGUCAUCUAGCAACGAGGGAGAGGGGAGUGCAUCUACAUACCCUUGUAGAUCGCGAGCGGAAGCGUUCAAGAGAACGGGGUUGAUGGAGUCGCACUCGUCGUGAUCCAAAUCACCGAUGACCUAGUGCCGAACGGACGAUACCCUUGUAGUCUCUUGUCUUGAUACAACAAGGAGAAAGGAGAGGUUGAUGGAGAUCCAGCAGCACAACGGCGUGGUGGUGGAAGCAACGACGAUCUCGGCAGGGCUUCGCCAAGCUUAGCGGGAGGGAGAGGUGUCACGUGAGGGAGAGGGAGGCGCCAGGGGCUAGGGUGCGGCUGCCCUCCCUCCCCCCCACUAUAUAUAGGACCCCUAGGGGGGGGCGCCGGCCCUAGGAGAUCCAAUCUCCAAGGGGGGCGGCGGCCAAGGGGGGUGGCUUGCCCCCCAAGCCAACUGGGGCGCCCCCACCCCUAAGGUUUCCAACCCUAGGCGCAGGGGGAGGCCCAAGGGGGCGCACCAGCCCAUCAGGGGCUGGUUCCCCUCCCACUUCAGCCCAUGGGGCCCUCCGAGACAGGUGGCCCCACCCGGUGGAACCCCGGGACCCUUCUGGUGGUCCCGGUACAAUACCGAUGACCCCCGAAACAUUCCCGAUGGCCGAAAGUGGACUUCCUAUAUAUAAUUCUUCACCUCCGGACCAUUCCGGAACUCCUCGUGACGUCCGAGAUCUCAUCCGGGACUCCGAAUAACUUUCGGGUUACCGCAUACUAAUAUCUCAACAACCCUAGCGUCACCGAACCUUAAGUGUGUAGACCCUACGGGUUCGGGAGACAUGCGGACAUGACCGAGACGACUCUCCAGUCAAUAACCAACAGUGGGAUCUGGAUACCCAUGUUGGCUCCCAUAUGCCCCUCGAUGAUCUCAUCGGAUGAACCACGAUGUCGAGGAUUCAAUCAAUCCCGUAUACAAUUCCCUUUGUCAAUCGGUACAUUACUUGCCCGAGGCUCGAUCGUCGGUAUCCCAAUACCUCGUUCAAUCUCGUUAUCGGCAAGUCACUUUACUCGUACCGUAAUGCAUGAUCUCGUGAUCAACCACUUGGUCACAUUGAGCUCAUUAUGAUGAUGCAUUACCGAGUGGGCCUAGAGAUACCUCUCCGUCAUACGGAGUGACAAAUCCCAGUCUCAAUUCGUGCCAACCCAACAGACACUUUCGGAGAUACCCGUAGUGCACCUUUAUAGUCACCCAGUUACGUUGUGACGUUUGGCACACCCAAAGCACUCCUACGGUAUCCGGGAGUUGCACAAUCUCAUGGUCUAAGGAAAUGAUACUUGACAUUCGGAAAAGCUAUAGCAAACGAACUACACGAUCUUUGAGCUAUGCUUAGGAUUGGGUCUUGUCCAUCACAUCAUUCUCCUAAUGAUGUGAUCCCGUUAUCAAUGACAUCUAAUGUCCAUAGUCAGGAAACCAUGACUAUCUUUUGAUCAACGAGCUAGUCAACUAGAGGCUCACUAGGGACGUGUUGUGGUCUAUGUAUUCACACAUGCAUUAUGAUUUCUGGAUAACACAAUUAUAGCAUGAACAAUAGACAAUUAUCAUGAACAAGGAAAUAUACUAAUAACCAUUUUAUUAUUGCCUCUAGGGCAUAUUUCCAACACUAACAACAUUUUUGUAAACUAAUAAUCCAUCAACCGAUCUCCUAGAAGCAUCAUGUGAGUAAUCUCUAGGUGUACAUGUACAUUUUAGAACAUUUCCCCUUAGAUAUGAACACACAUAUUUGAUAACCGUUGGUUCUUUGUUUCCAUAUAUAAAUCGAGUCAUGGACCGUGAUUUUCCCAAUUCACUCCACAAAUUCUCUAUAUAAGCCAAUCAUGAAUCUCUAACCCUAGAUCUCUAACCCUAGAGACUCGCUCUCCCCUCCCCCAACGCUCGCGUCCUCCCCAUCGCCAAGUUUUUCUUACCCUUUGUGUUAGUACAACCAUGCAAGAUCUCCCCUCAUAAAUUGUGGCCUCUAAAUCCAAGAGCAGCACAAACACCACACUUCACCUCGUCCUUCCUUGCCUGCUCAUCGUCUAUUUUCCAUCGCCAUCAUCUCCCUUGGUUCAUCGUUAGGUUUGGAUUCGUUGCCUCCCAAGAUAAAAUUUCCCACAUAUAGUCAUUGCCACCAUCGCGCUUUCCUCAUGACCCCUCUUGGUGUCUCUCUCGCUACCUCUCCUAUCCAACGCUAACCCAUCAAAACACUUAUUUUGACUCCUAGGAUCUACUGAAUCCUAAAUCAUAACUUAAAGAUCCUUGGAGAGACGAAGACAAAGUUGAUGUGAAAAAAAUGAAGGUAUAAACCCUUACAAAUACAAAUAUAUUUAGCAAUAUGUGUAAAUAUUAGUCGUAUUUCUUGGAUAAAGAUGUUCUUAUAAUUAUGUUUCCUUGAUUUGUUUGGAUAAACAUUUACCGCAGCAACAACAUCCUGAUUAAUCCCUUUUGUUUGGUAACAUUCAAGAGAUCACACAUUUUUCACAUCUCCGUAGGAUUGUUGUAUUUCCUCCUUCCUUCCUUCCUUCCUUCCUCCUCCUCCUCCUCCUCCUCCUCCUCCUCCUUCUCUCCGUAGGAUUGUUGUAUUUCCUCCUUCCUUCCCUCCUCCUCCUCCCGCUUCUUCUUAUAAUUGCUUGUUUUUCCCGCAAAACAAAGUAUUCAUGUGUUCAGUAGCUUUUACCAUCUAUAUGUAUGUGUAGUUCUUGUUAUCACAUCUCUGUACAAUAGUUGCCUUCUCUUCCUUUCUUUCUUUUUGUUAUAUUCAUGUUGACGAGCCGUGAUAUCAAGUGUUGACCACCGCAUAACCCUAGCCACCAUGUAAAAGCUAACUUAUGUGUUUCUUUAGAAACUAGGAACUUCAUUACCCCCAACCUUUGUAGCAACUAGCAUGACUACAACCAUGUUAUUAUAAAAUCAAUAAACCGGUGAAAAAAGAUCUAGUAUGCGAGUGGAUAGAGUAAGAAAUUGAAAGGGGAAAACAUGUUGCACCAAUUCCUAACAUAAUAUCUUGUUCUUGUAAGACAGAUCUUUUGCGAGUAAAAACAAGACACCGAGUUGCUUACUAGCCUCACCAGCAGUGGGCCCGACAACCUGAGUUAGAUCUUUGCCUCUACCUUAGGGCAUGUACAAUGGUCCUAUGUUAGGAGUACCACGUAGGAUAAACAUUGAGGUAGAGGAGAGAGAAACCAUUAAAAAAGGCUUGUCUUCUCUUAUUUAAGAGAUGAUCUCUUAGCACCAUAUGUCUCAUCACGUUUUUAAAAAUAACUAGUUAUUGAAGAUCAGACUAAGAGAUGACCCAUUAUAGAUAUGUUUUUAUUGUCAUCUCUAAAUUAUAUUCAAGGCUUAAGAUAAGACUGCCUUAUCAACCACUGUACAUGCCCUUAAUAAAACCGUUCUUUGGUCAUUUGCACAAAAACAAAUUAUCAAAAAUCAAUAAGUAUUUGGUGGACUUCCAAUAUUUUUGUCUGCGAGGUAACAUGAAGAACCUUCCAUUAAGAUAUGAACACACCCCUACUUGAGCUUGGGCAACAUCUCAAUUCAUCCAUUCCUUUAGUAUGGAAGCUUGCUUCAUUUUUUAGCAAAGUCUAAGUAAUUUAUAUUUUGCGUAUAAUGCCAAUUUUCAUAAGGUAUAUGUGUACCACUUUACUAGUAUUGUUGACAUAUUCCAUUAUUUUUUUAAUCCCAUUUAUAUGCAUUGCGGUUCCUAACAUACUUACCCACAUGAAACAACCAUCUCAUAUGUUUCUCACAGAUGAAAUGAAUCCAAGUGUGAAUUCUUCUAGUUUGAUUUCGCAAAAUGCGAUUCCUAACAUUUUUAUCCACAUGUCUCGUAUGUUGCCUAUAUUCGCACACUUCUUUCUUUAUUCACCUUUCCUAAAAAAAACCCGUUCACCUAAUUGUGAUUCUUAACAUUUUUACUCGCAUGUAAACUGCCUCAUAUGUUGCCUACAUGGCCAUUUUUACCAGCAUGUAACAAUUGUCGCGUAUGUUGCUACAUAUGAAAUCAAUCCAAGUGUGAGUGCGUAACACUCUUCUAUGUUUGAUUUGUUUCAAAUUGUGUUUCCUGCCAUUUUUACCCGUAUGCCUGCGAGGACUUCAUAUAUAUAUAUGAGUCCCAACGUUACCAUGCUCCAUCCUACCUUCCCAUGGCCACGCUCUCGCCUGGGCAGCGGCAGCAGCCGGGCGUGGACCGCCUCAGUGCGCUGCCCGACGAACUCCUUGUGACCAUCCUGGAUGGCCUAGACACCCGCUCCGCGCUCGCCACCACCGUCCUAGCCAAGCGCUGGACGCACCUCCCCCGCCUCCUCAGCGCACUCGAGUUUAGGGUCACCGACAUGUUCCCACCGCCGGUGUACCAACAGUCUCCCGUCUUCCUGGAGUAAUACGCGCCGGCCGUCAUGGCCAGGUACAACGACGCCAUUGACAGAUUCAUGGAAGCGGCCCACGCCGACGGUAGCUAUAUCCCCCAGCCCGGCAGGAGGCUCCGGCUCGAGUUCUUCGACCCAGACGAACCCGCUUUCGUUGACCGCCUGAUCGGCACAGCGGUCAGAAGCUGGGGCGUGGAGGACCUGGAGGUCAUAGUCAAGCCGGUGGCACGCCAUAUCGCUUACUUCUUCCCACAGCAUUACCUCGACGACGAGUCGGCGCAAUUCAUCCGCAGCCUCACUCUGGGAGGUUGCAGCCUCCUCCGGCCGCUGCACAGGUACGGCAAGCUCACUGCGCUCGUCCUUCAGGAUAUCAGCCCGUCGGUGCCUGUGGCGGCCUACGCCGGUGUGUUUUCCAGGUGCGCGGGGCUGCGGUCCGUGCACCUCAGGCGCUGCCACCCCGAAACCGAUAACAACAUACCCAGCGUCAUGGAGGUGGACGCGCCGGCGUCGGGGAUCAUUGAGCUCGUCGUCUACAACUGCUCGUUCCAGGCGAUCCGGCUGCUGGCUCUCCCGGCGCUGGAGCGCCUGGAGUGCAGCGGCAGCCCCGUCAGUCUGGCAUUCGGCAUCAUCCCGCGCCUGGCGCACGUAGUCCUCAGCCUAGGAUUCUUCAUCCUGGAAGGCGACCCCUGGGACGACCGGUACGGCGACUAUACGCUCGACGAGCUCCUGGUGGCGGUUAACCCUGCGGCCGUGACGGUCACGGACCUCGUCCUCCGGUUCACGGGUACCUACAGGUGGGUGGAGCCGUGGCUCGACGGCGUGACGCCGUUCCCCGUCCUGCGCAGGCUGCUGGUGGCGGACGUGCCUUCCAACUGGGACGUGUUGUGGGCGUACCUCCUCCUCGAGGCGGCGCCGUCGCUCGAAGUCUUCCACAUGAGCGUCACCCCCUGCGCCGAGGACUCGCAGCGCGACGUCGACAUCAUGUGGCGUCCGUCCAAAUACCGUCACCGUCGUCGGGUUCGAGCUGACGCCGACGCAGGCGUGCCUGGUCAGGCUCGUCAUGAAGACGUGCAAGGCGCUGAGGCGCGUCGUGCUGAUGAAGGGCGGCCGCAUAGAGGACAGGGGACUCGGGGGCGGCUGGGAGGUGGUGGCGCCGCAGGAGAACGGCUGGAGCGACGACGAGAAGGUGGCCGCGGAGAGGGCGAUCAAGAAAGUCAGAUACUUCAAGCUGUACGGUCAUCUGUUCUUUGCAUGAGUUUGAGAGUUAUUCCGCUUUGUAGGCGGCGAUUUAGAUUCGAGACUUCUUUUCCGACUGUGAGUUCGGCUCAUCGUAUGUUUUAAUUUAAGUUAAUGUCGGAUCUGUUUGUCGAACGGUUAAAGCAAAGGGAAUGAUUUCCAUUCAUUCCGUCUCUUUCCACAACAAAUUAUUGCGGUGAUUGAUUUACUGAAUAAUGUAUGAGAAACACUUACCAUCAACCGGCCGAUAAUAGGGCCGCAUCGGUCAUCUUCCAUGCGUGACACGCGUCUCGCAGACUAUCCUUCAAUAAACUCGCUUUUGCAACAGGAGCUAUGCUUCCGAAACAUAUGCGGUGUUGCAAUACUUUACGACGGGUCUAUGUUUUACAACAAAACUUCUCUUGCAAAUUUUUCUGCAACAAGACCUCAGUUGUAAAAAUAUAAAAAAAACUGAUGCUGCAAAAAAAAAUCCGCAACAAGACCUAUGUUGCAAAAAUAAUUCCGCAACAAGACCUGCGUUGUAGAAAUAAAUUCUCGCAACAAGACCUGUGUUGCAGUAUGAAGACGCGUUCGUCCGUGUGAUGCGGUAAUCUGACGGCUCGCGGCCCGGCUGAUCUUUUAAAAAGAUCAACCGGCGGACGUGUAGCACACCACAUAAUGUAUGCAUGCAUAUCUCUGAACUGAAUAUUCUGUUUUGCUUUGUAGGUGGAAGUAUCUUGUGGCAACCUUGUUUCUGAAUAAAAUGCAUAGGUUAGAAAUAAACUGCUUUUUAAGAUCAUAGAGCAGGCAAUUGCACGUCUAACUUAUCGGCCAUAGUAGUACUUUUACUGUAUUUGCAACAACACAUUCUAACCAGAGCAACAGGUUCAGAGCCCUUCAUCAUGACAACUUCAAAACAAGCAAACACAUUGCAUAUAUUCUGUGAAGCCUAUGUGCAGAUGCAGGUUAGGCCAAUACACAAAUACACAAACCAAGAAUUAUAUUGAGCACUCAAUUCUUGGUAGGAUGGAAGUGAUACUGUGUUUGCUCUGUAAAUAAAUGAUAGGCCUGAACCAUGCUGUUCUCAAAACAGAGAGAAAGAAACUGCAGUCUUAGAAAGAAACUGCAAUGUUCUGUAGAGAUGCACGAUUUGUGACCCGUGCACUCCCUGUCAGUGCCUAGAUUAGUGUUGGAUGGCUGAAUAAGUUCACAUGCAAAUCUCUAAAAAUAAAAUAAAUAUACCUUACUUCUGAUAGCAAAGAACAGAUCUAGGGUUAAUGCAGUGCUGAUGGGAAGCGCCGCCACCACCUCGCCCACUAGUCUCUGCCAUCACCGGCCACUGUCACCAUGGCCGGCACCGGUGGCUCCUCGAGCCACAAGGAAAAGGUAAUACUCCCAUACCACUACCCGAAUCCCCAUGCCCACUGGAUCAACGGAUCCUAUCAAUGGUAUCAGCCCAGGUUGGCGUUAUGGAUUUUAGGUAGCAACAGAAAUCCUCCCUCCCCAAAGAACCCUAGAACAGGGCAAAGAAAAAUUCCUCUCCGGAGAAAGUAGCGCCGCCGUUAUGGCCGCGCCGUUCCUCUCGAUCCGGAAGGGCAUCGGCACGCCGAGCCGUCCGGAAGAAGAACCACCGGAGUUAGCCCAAGGGCUCGCCGGAAAAGGAGAAGGGGGGCACCGUAGCCAAACUGCUCGACGGCGGCGCGCUCACCGCGAGGUAGACGCGCAGCCGGCGAGGGGGAAGGCCACGGUGCCCCGUCGAAACCUCCGCCGUAGUCGUCGUCCAGAUCGAAAAAGAGGAGGCGUUGGUGGUGGAGACACAGAGGAGAGGACAUGAGGAAAUGGGGGGAGGAGAGGGUGGCGCGCAGCGCGGUGUCUUCGGGUCGUCGUCGCGGGCGGCCAGACUUAGCUCGUCGGUGGCCUCUGCCCCCGGCCGCGGAGACAGAUCGGAGGACGGCCUGCCCUCUCUGCAAUAGGAAAGAGAAGGGGAACAUGAGGAAAGAGAAGCGGCCAGGCUCGCGCGGUGGUGGACGCCAUCGCCGGCGGCUCGACCGGACCGGCGUGGCGCGGUCGCCCGGCGACCGGGAAAGCGUCGGGUCGAGAGAGGAUGAACGGCGCGAGAGAAAAGAAUGGGGGCGCUAGGUUUCGGUUCUGGGACUCUUUCCUGUUUUUGUUCGAGCGAGAACGACGAUCCACCUUCCGACCGCGUUGAACGGUUUGGAUUAAAACCCUAGCCUCCCCACUGGCCUUUUGGGCCGAAAGUGAUCGUGGGCUAGGCCGAGGAAGGCCGGCUCGCGCGGCCUGGCGCGGGAAGCAGGCCAUGGGCCGCUUCCUCCGCUGAGGGCCUUGAGCGCUGGGCCUGGCCGCAGCUGCGUGCUGCGCCGUGGCCGUAGCAGCGCGCUGGACCGAGGCCAGCAGCCUUGCGCGCUGGACCAAGGCAGGGCCAGUUCAUUUUGUACAGUUUCCUUUUUCUACUCAAAAAAAUUUCCAACGAAAAUUCUCUUUAGAAAAUAUAUAAAAGAAAAAAGUAGAACAGUUUCUAAAAAUGAAAAUAAAAAAAUUUCAGAAAAAUAAACGUUCAUGAAUUUAGUUGGCAAGAAGAAAAGUUUAUGUAAACAAUAAAAGUGCACUUUUAAAAGAAAAGAAAAUUUUUCUGUAAAGAAUAAUAGGUUCAUGAAUUUUCUAUUCAUGUUUUUUCCGCUGCAAAUAAAAAUAAAAGUGCUCCUUUAAAAGUGAAUAGAACUAAAAUAGAAGAUGAAAUUGUUGCUUCUCUAAUGCUUUUUUGAACCAAUUGGUUAAAAUUACUUAGAGAGUAAAAGAGUACAUAAUUGUUUCUGCAUAGAAUAUUAAAAGUUUCUGCUGCAAAGAAAAAGUUUUAUCCUCCAAUUAAAUUGGAACCAAGGGGAAAAUUUAAUUGGAAAAACUGUUCUUAGCAAUGUUUUCCCUUGUGGGUGAAAUCAGAUUCAGAUAGCUUCCGCUAUGACAAAAGAAAGAUAUUUGUUUUAAAGUUAAAAUAUGGUAUUGUUAUUUUCUAACCAACGUUGAUGAUAAUAGUACUAUAAUUCUAUGAGUCUUAUGUUCAAUGCUUAAAUCUCUGAUAAAUUUUGUAUCAAAGUGAUCAAUUUUCAGAGAACAGUUAAAGAUAAAGAAAUGCUCUUGAACUAGAGAAAUGUAUAUUUCUUGUUUCCGCUGCAAUAAAGUUGAUGAUGAUUAUUAUUUCUGAGCAAAGUUGUUUAAUAGAAAUACUAUCAUCACAUUGUUUAUGAGUUAUAUGCAUUAUUUCCAUUUCCGCCCAAUGAUGAUAUGGAAUUAAUGUAGAAGAAUGAGUUUUAUUCUAAUUCUACCACAACGGUGAUUUAGAGUAUAAAAAGGAAGUUUUGCAAAAGUUUAAUGUGCAUAUUUUUUAACCAGACCAACAUAGGGUGUAGCGACCAGACCUCAAACAGUCUGAUCUCUGUGCUUCGGUGUCAUCCCUGGAUCAUUAAUGCUAACACCACACAGUACUCGGAGGAUUUAUAACAGAGUAGCAAUCACACACUUAUUACAUCGAGUGUCUCCAUAGAGAACUUAUUACAAUAAAUAUGGCUUAAGGCCAUCUAUAACGAUAACAGCGGAAGGCUUAGAAGAUAAGUGAGUGCAUCAACUCCAACGACAUCACUGAGUAUAGAAUCACGACUUAAAAACUCGUUAAUCGUCGUCUGAAAAGUCUGCAACAUUAACGUUGCAGCCCUAAACGGGUCGGCACAUGAAAUAUGCUGGCAAGGUAACACAUAGAGAAUAAUGGAAUGAAAUAGCUAUACUAUAUGCCUAUUUGGCUGGUGGAAAGCUCUAUGGUUACAGUUUUGCGAAAAGCCAAUUUUUCCCUACUAUAAAGGAAUAAAUUUAAUUACUAUCAUGGUGGUUGUUAAACAUUGAGAAUGGUUGACAGCAUUCUCAAUCCCAAUUAAGCAUCAUCAUUAAACAAAGCCCAACAAUUAAUUUAGGAUAACAUGUUGAGAUUCACAUGAAAAUCCAGGUACUAGAUGCUCAAGAUGUCCAUAACCGGGGACACGGCUAACCAUGAUUAGUUUAUUACACUCUGCAGAGGUUUGCGCACUUUUCCCCACAAGACUCGAUCGCUUCCGUUUGGUUUCUCGCACUACAUGGUAUUUGAGAAGACGGAUGACCGAGACAUAGUAUUUCAGAAGCGCUAGCACCUUACGAUCGGGUAGACCGUACCACCUACAUCCCCUACAUCUGCUAGUCUACCACUGUAAGAGUUCGCACUACUUAGUCAACUAUGCUAGAGCCCAUAAUAGCUUGUGGCUGCACAUGGAAGUUUCUAGUAUGAAUAGUCUCAUGAUCCCUUUGAGCCUGGGUGGCGGUCCAAAAGAAAACAAGCAAGUCCUGGAAUACCCAGGUGCCUCAAUCCACCCAGAUGUGUGUUUAAGUUGCCACCUUAGAUAAACCAUUAAUUAACAAUCUCACAUCUAUCAUGGAUAUCACUCACCCAAUCCACGUCUACUAGCAUAGCAUGGCAUAAUAAGCAAACGUAGAAGUAACUCCCAAAAGUUUGAUAAUAAAUAGGUAAUAGGUACUACCUCAACUACUUCCCACCCCACAAUUUAAUUAGAUCCUAAUCAUGCAAUGUGUGAGGAUGGAUCUAAUGCAAUAAAACUGGGUAGUAGGAAAGGUAUGAUCAAAGUGUUAUUUGCCUUGCUGAUGAUCCGGGAAACCUAGCGAUUCGAAGUAACAAGCGGCGCACUCCGGGUACUCUAUCGCAAACAAACAAACAAGCAUACAAUAAGUACUCAUCUAAUGCAUGGGUAAAACUAAAAUAAGAGAUCUAACCAGAAGGUUCAACUUAAGAACUCCGGUUUGCAAAAAGAGUCAAAUCGAACGGAGCAACGAAAGUCAAACGGCGAAAGAAAACAACUUCGUUCUACUAAUCUGGAUCUAGGGCAAACUUUACAGUAGCAAAACUUGUUUAAGUUGAUUAAACGGAUAGUGGGUUUCGAGACAAAACUCCAGGCGCUUGAAUCGCCUGAUUCCGAUAAACGAGCGAAAAGUUAUACUAUAAGAAAAUCGGAUCAGGAAUCGCGAUCAAAAAAAUCGCGGAUUAAAUUCGAGAAAAGAAAAACGACGAACGUUCGCUAGAACGAACAAAUGAACGCUCGCUAUUUAAAUAAACCGAAAAGAAACCGAUCUAUUUAAAAAAAACCAAAACAAAAAAACAGACGAAAAACCGAAAGGUUUUUUGAAAAAAAAUAAAAAAAAACGGCGCGGAAAACUAGGCGGCGGCGGACCUCGGGCGGCGUGCGGCGGCGGCGGGCGCUGGGGCGGCGGGAGGCGCUGGGGGCGGCUAGGGUUUGGUUGGGGCUGGGCCUCUCGCCCCCCGGCUUAUAUAUCCUAACGGGCCGGGAGUCCUAGUCGGACACGACCAUAGGUCGGUUCGUUUUUUUUAUAUAUUACGCGCAGAAGAAAAAAAAUAAAAAGAAAUACUAAACGGACUCUAAAAAUUCCAAAAUAAAUUUUUACGGGCUUCUAAAAUCAAGCCGCACAAGGUGAACAUUUAUUUGGGGCCUAAAUACAAUUUUGAAAAAUGCACAUUUUUCCUAAAUUCAAAUAAAAUAACAAAAAACUUCGAAAUAAAAUCUUAUUUGAUUUUAUUAUUAAAUCCUCAAUAUUUAUUUAUUUUGGGAAAGUCAUUUUAUUCCCUCUCUCAUAUUUUUGUAAUAGAAAUAAUUGAUGAUAAAAUAAAUAAAAUCAAAUGAUCCUAUUCUCAAAAUUUGAGAAAACUCAAAUAUGAAAAUAAUGAAAUCCCCAACUCUCUCCGUGGGUCCUUGAUUUGCGUAGAAUUUCUAGGAUCAACCAAAAUGCAAAAUAAAAUAUGAUAUGCAUAGAUGAUCUAAUGUAUAACAUUCCAAAUUGAAAAUUUGGGAUGUUACAAACCUACCCCCCUUAAGAUGAAUCUCGCCCACGAGAUUCGGGUUGGCUAGAAAAUAGGUGAGGGUGGUCCUUGAGCAAAUCUUCCUCUCGCUCCCAGGUGGCUUCAUCCUCCGUGUGGUUGCUUCACUGAAUUUUGCAAAACUUGAUAACCUUGCUGCGAGUGACUCGGCUAGCAAACUCGAGGAUCUUAAUUGGUUUCUCCUCGUAGGUCAAAUCGUUAUCCAACUGAAUUGUUUCCAACGGCACUGUGUCUCUCAAGGGUAUGUCAGCCAUCUCAGCGUGACACUUCUUCAACUGGGAAACGUGGAACACAUCAUGAACUCCUGACAAUCCUUCAGGCAAUUCCAACCUGUAGGCCACUUCUCCCAUACGCUCCAAAACUCGAUAUGGUCCUACAAAUCGUGGCGCUAACUUUCCCUUAACUCCAAAAUGCUUUGUUCCCCGAAGUGGAGAUACUCGAAGAUAAGCUCUAUCUCCAACUUCGUAAACUGUCUCCUUCCAUUUCGAAUCUGCAUAACUCUUCUGUCUGGACUGGGCUAUCUUGAGCCUGUCGCGAAUCAACUUUACCUUCUGUUCAGACUCUUUAAUCAAGUCAGGUCCAAACAACUGGCGAUCUCCAACUUCGUCCCACGACAACGGUGUCCUGCACCUCCUUCCAUACAAAGCUUCGAAAGGGGCCAUCUUUAAACUGGUUUGAUAACUGUUGUUGUAAGAGAACUCUGCAUAUGGGAAAUUGUCGUCCCAACUAGAUCCAUAAUCUAGCGCACAAGCUCUCAGCAUAUCCUCCAAAAUCUGAUUGACUCUCUCGGUCUGUCCAUCUGUCUGUGGAUGAAAAGUUGUACUGAAUUCUAGCCUGGUACCCAAAGUUUCAUGCAACUGCUUCCAGAACUUUGAGGUAAAUUGGGUUCCUCUGUCUGAUACGAUACUCCUCGGAACUCCAUGCAAACAUACGAUCCUGGUCAUGUAUAUUUUUGCCAACAUAGUACUGGUGUAAGUGGUCUUUACCGGGAUGAAAUGAGCUACUUUCGUCAACCGAUCGACUAUAACCCAAAUCGAGUCAUAGCCUGAACGAGUCCUGGGUAAUCCUAUGAUAAAAUCCAUGCCUAACUUAUCCCACUUCCAUUCGGGUAUCGGUAAUGGUUGUAACAAUCCUGCUGGCUUCUGAUGCUCUGCCUUUACUCUCUGACAUACAUCACAGACUGCUACAUACUCCGCAAUAUCCUUCUUCAUUCCGGUCCACCAGAAAAUAUCCUUAAAAUCCAAAUACAUCUUGGUAUUUCCUGGGUGAAUCGAAUAUGGUGAAUAGUGUGCCUCUUGCAGAAUCAACUUCCUAAUCUCCGGGUCAUUGGGCACAUAAACACGGUCUUCAAACCAUAGGGUGUCGUGCUCAUCCUCACGAAAUCCUUUAGCCUUUCAUUUGCUCAGUUUCUCCUUAAGAGAGGCAAUCUCCUUGUCAGUCUUCUGAGCUUCUCUGAUUCUAUCCAUCAAGGUUGACUGAAUCUCCAAUGCUGCUACAUAGCCUCUAGGAACUAUUUCCACACAUAGUUCAUGAAGAUUUUCUUCUAACUCCCUUGGUAUUCCUCCCGUCAUUAAUGUAUUGACGUGGCUCUUACGGCUUAAUGCGUCAGCUACUACAUUAGCCUUUUCGGGAUGAUAAUGCAAUCUCAUAUCAUAAUCCUUGAUGAGCUCCAACCAUCUCCUCUGUCCGAGGUUUAACUCCUUCUGCGUGAAAAUGUAUUUCAAACUCUUAUGAUCCGUGUACACCUCACAAUGAUUUCCAAUGAGGAAAUGUCUCCAUGUUUUCAAUGCAUGCACUACAGCUGCUAACUCUAAAUCAUGCGUAGCAUAAUUCAACUCAUGAGGUUUCAGUUGUCUUGAGACAUAUGAAACAACUCUCCCUUCCUGCAUAAGCACUGCUCCAAGUCCUCGACGUGAAGCGUUGCAAUACACCUCAUAAUCCUUGGUCUGGUCUGGCAAAAUCAACACUGGUGAAGUAACCAAACGUUUCUUCAACUCCUGGAAACUAGCCUCACAUUCCUCCGUCCAUAUGAACUUGGUAUCUUUCUUCAACAACUCCAUGAUAGGCUUCGCAAUCUUUGAGAAAUUCUCAAUAAAUCUCCGGUAGUAUCCCGCGAGUCCCAGAAAACUCCGUAUCUCUCCAACCAUGGUCGGUGCUUCCUAUUUGGUCACGAUAUCAACUUUAGCGGGAUCUACUGCUAUUCCUUCUCCGGAUAUAACGUGUCCGAGGAAUCCUACUUCCUUCAACCAAAACUCACAUUUUCUAAACUUGGCAUAUAAUUGAUGUUCUCUGAGCUUUCCAAGUACCAAACGCAAAUGCUCCUUAUGCUCCUCUUCAUUCUUCGAGUAAACCAUGAUAUCAUCAAUGAACACCACGACGAACUUAUCCAAAAACUCCAUAAACACUUUGUUCAUCAUGUUCAUAAAAUAUGCAGGUCCGUUAGUCAGACCAAAUGACAUAACGGUAUACUCGUACAACCCAUACCUGGUGGUAAAAGCUGUCUUAGGAAUAUCAUGUUCUCGAAUCUUCAAUUGGUGGUACCCUGAUCACAAAUCGAUCUUGGAAAAUACCUUAGCUCCUUGCAAUUGAUCAAACAGAUCAUUGAUCAUUGGUAGUGGGUACUUGUUCUUGAUUGUUACUUCAUUCAAUCCUCGAUAAUCAACAACCAUCCUUAACGAUCCAUCCUUCUUCUCCACUAGAAGUACUGGCGAUCCCCAAGGCGAAGAACUUGGGCGAAUAUAUCCUUUAUCCAGUAACUCCUUAAUCUGCUUCUUAAUUUCCACCAAAUCCUUUGCUGGCAUCCUAUAUGGUCUCUUUGAUAUUGGCCCUGUGCCUGGCAAUAGCUCAAUCAAAAACUCAAUAUCUCUAUCCAGUGGCAUGCCUGGCAACUCUUCUGGAAAUACUUCAGGGAAAUCCCUUACCACUGGUACUUCCUCCUGCACAGCUCCUGUUAAGCAAUUUACUGGUGUCCUCUUUGGCACAUGUCGGGAUACAUACUUGAUCCUUCUCCCUUCUGGUGUGGUAAGCAAAAUUGACUUACUAGCACAUUCAAUAUUCCCUUCAUACUUUGAUAACCAAUCCAUGCCUAAUAUCACAUCCAAUCCUUGGGAUUCCAAUACUAUUAGGUCUGAGGGAAAAACAUAGUUACCAAUCCUUAAUGGUAACUGAUCACACCAUCGACUAGCCAUAUACUCUGCUCCAGGCGAGGUUACUAACAUGGGUGACCUAAGGGCUUGGGUUGACAGUUUAUACUUAUCCACAAAUCCCCUUGAGAUGUAUGAAUGCAAUGCGCCAGUAUCAAAAAGAACGAGUGCAGUAAAUGACUUAACCAAAAACUUACCUAUUACUGCAUCAUGCUGAGCUUCAACCUCCUCCACAUUAACGUGGUUCACCUGUCCCCUGUUGAAAGGGUCCGGCUUCUUCCCAGAGCUUCCAUUGCCAUUUCCAUUUUGUAAUUCAGGACAUUCAUUGGCAUAAUGUCCGGUCUUCGAACACUUAAAGCAAGUGACUUGGCUCAGGUCUUUCUUGGCUGGGGUUGAUGGGUUGGUGCGAUUCUGGCCGUUGCUUCCUCCAUUACCAUUACCAUUCCUGGUGCCAUUGUGAUUGUGUGAGCUACCUCCUCCAUGGGUAUGCUGAAAAUGUCCUCCCGGUCUAGGGGUAAAACGUGGCUUCUGCUGAGCUCCUGAAUUGUAUUUCCCUUGUCCAUACUUCCUCUUGUGGUUCUUAAUUUGCUACUGCUUGCCUUCAAUCAUAAGAGCAUGAUCUACCAACUCCUGAUAGUUGUUGAAGGUUGCUACCAUCAACUGCAUGCUCAACUCAUCAUUCAGUCCUUCUAGAAACUUCUCCUGCUUUGCUGCAUCCGUAGCAACAUCAUCUGGGGCAUAACGUGCUAACUUACUACGGUCCUCCACAUACUGGCCAACUGUCCGUCCUCCUUGGUGCAAGUUGCGGAACUCACGCUUCUUCAUGGCCAUAGCUCCUGCUGAAACAUGGGCAGUACGAAAGGCCUGUUGAAACUGGUCCCAUGUGACAGUGUCGACAGGGAAAGUGGCUGUGAAAUUCUCCCACCAUGAUGCUGCGGGUCCUUCAAGCUGAUGUGCGGCAAACUUCACCUUCUCUGCAUCCGUGCAUCCUACUGUGGUCAACUCUCUAGCUGUCUUGCGGAGCCAAUCAUCUGCUACUAUCGGCUCGGUGCUACUGGAAAACACCGGUGGAUUCAGCCUAAGAAAACGCGCUAAGUGAUCAACAGGUGGUGGUGGUGGUGGGUUGUUGUUGUUGUUCCCCUGAUUCUGAUUCUGGACUAGCAACUGCAUCAAUGUGUUCUACUGCUGGAUCAACUAUGUGAGCUCUGGUGGAAAGGAAAAUCCGGGGUCAUGUCUCGGAGGCAUCUGAGGGUUUAGAAAAGAUGAGAUGUAAGAAUAGAGGGGUCUAAAGAGAAAACACUACCCAUAUGCACAUGAGGCAAAAGCAAACAAUUCACUUCAUUCAAUCAAACAAGGGCAUACAAUCGAUGUAACUAUCGCAAAAGUGCUCGGACUACUAUAUUUACAUGGUGGACUACUACUACUGAUGAGGUGGUCUACUAGAAAUAUUCUUCAGUUGCAGACUCCAUGAUAUCUGCUCCAGCUUCGUCAACAUAAUCAUCAUCGCUAUCGUCUGGAUUCGAAUUCUGUGUCGUCGAUGAUGAUGUAGUCUUCCGGGCGAAUCUCCUUGGGUUCUUCAUCUUCAUCUACUGGUGUAGGGCCUCCCAUAAAUAUCCCGAUCUUCUUUGUUAGGUCGGCAUUCUUAUCCACUAAUACUUCAAUUUCCUCUUCAUAAUUUUCACGUGUAGCCUUGAGUUCUUCCUCCAGUUCCUUGAUUAUUGUCUUAGCCUUCUUCAGAUCUAUCAUGUCGGCGCACAUCUGGUUUUCCUGUCGUCGAAUGUGAUGGUUUAAGUCCUGGAUAAAAGCAGCAAUUGAUCUAUCCUUCCGGGUGCUGAUCAUCUCCCAGUGCUCAUCUCGGCGUCCACAAAUCUGGUAGAUAGUAUCCUUGAGAUCAUUGUGGUAGACUUCUCCAAUGUGUCCCAUGGCGAUGUGAGCUGCCAUGCUCUUUCCUAGACUCCAAGUUGGUGCAUCAAAAGAAAACUCUAUGGGCUCAGUGACUGGCAUGAACGUCCUUCCUGAAACUUGAACUUGAAUCAUCCAGCGCUCUUCUUCAGGUAAAGUGGCGUUGUAGGUUCCGGUGAAGCUUGGUACUCCUAUGUUCAGGUAUCUAGUGACUUCCUUCAAGUGUCGUCCAAAGGGUGUAUCUUCAUUCGGUUGCGUGAACUUGUUCCUUGCAUCCGCCAUCCUAAAAGAGUAAAAAAGAUGAGGAGUCAGAAGACAAGAGGGUGAAUAGUGUUCUAGAUCUUUAGCUUAAUGGUCGUGUCCUACAGUCAGCGUGUGCUCUGAUACCAUCUCUAUAGCAACCACACCUCAAACAGUCUGAUCUCUGUGCUCUGGUGUCAUCCCUGGAUCAGUAAUGCUGACACCACACAGUACGCGGAGGAUUUAUAACAGAGUAGCAAUCACACACUUAUUACAUCGAGUGUCUCCAUAGAGAACUUAUUACAAUAAAUAUGGCUUAAGGCCAUCUAUAACGAUAACAGCGGAAGGCUUGGAAGAUAAGUGAGUCCAUCAACUCCAACGGCAUCACUGAGUAUAGAACCACGACCUAAAAACUCCUUAAUCGUCGUUUGAAAAGUCUGCAACAUUAACGUUGCAGCGCGAAACGGGUCAGCACAUGGAAUAUGCUGGCAAGAUAACACAUAGAGAAUAAUGGAAUGAAACAGCUAUACUAUAUGCAUAUUUGGCUGGUGGAAAGCUCUAUGGUUACAGUUUUGCGAAAAGCCAAUUUUUCCCUACUACAAAGGAAUAAAUUUAAUUACUAUCAUGGUGGUUGUUAAACAUUGAGAAUGGUUGACAGCAUUCUCAAUCCCAAUUAAGCAUCAUCAUUAAACAAAGCCCAACAAAAUUAAUUUAGGGUAACAUGUUGAGAUUCACAUGAAAAUCCAGGUACUAGAUACUCAAGAUGUCCAUAACCGGGGACACGGCUAACCAUGAUUAGUUUAUUACACUCUGCAGAGGUUUGCGCACUUUUCCCCACAAGACUCGAUCGCCUCCGUUUGGUUUCUCGCACUACAUGGUGUUUGAGAAGACGGAUGACCGAGACAUAGUCUUUCAGAAGCGCUAGCACCUUACGAUCGGGUAGACCAUACCACCUACAUCCCCUACAUCUGCUAGUCUACCACUGUAAGAGUUCGCAUGACUUAGUCAACUAUGCUAGAGCCCAUAAUAGCUUGUGGCUGCACACGGAACUUUCUAGUAUGAAUAGUCUCAUGAUCCCUUUGAGCCUGGGUGGCGGUCCAAAAGAAAACAGGCAGUCCAAAAGAAAACAGGCAAGUCCUGGAAUACCCAGGUGCCUCAGUCCACCCAGAUGUGUGUUUAAGUUGCCACCUUAGAUAAACCAUUAAUUAACAAUCUCACAUCUGUCAUGGAUAUCACUCACCCAAUCCACGUCUACUAGCAUAGCAUGGCAUAAUAAGCAAACGUAGAAGUAACUCCCAAAGGUUUGAUAAUAAACAGGUAAUAGGUACUACCUCAACUACUUCCCACCCCACAAUUUAAUUAGAUCCUAAUCAUGCAAUGUGUGAGGAUGGAUCUAAUGCAAUAAAACUGGGUAGUAGGAAAGGUAUGAUCAAAAUUUUACAGUAGCAAAAACUUGUUUAAGUUGAUUAAACGGAUAGAGGGUUUCGAGACGAAACUCCAGGUGCUUGAAUCGCCUGAUUCCGACAAACGAGCGAAAAGUUAUACUAAAAAAAAUCGGAUCAGGAAUCACGAUAAGAAAAAUCGUGGAUUAAAUCCGAGAAAAGAAAAAUGACGAACGUUCGCUAGAACGAACGAACGGACGAACGCUCGCUAUUUAAAUAAACCGAAAAAACCGAUCUAUUUAAAAAAAACUGAAACAAAAAAAACCGACGAAAAAACCAAACGGUUUUUCGAAAAAAACAAAAAACAACCGGCACAGAAAACGAGGCGGCGACGGACCUCGGGCGUCGUGCGGCGGCGGCGGGCGCUGGGGCGGCGGGCGGCGCUGGGGGCGGCUAGGGUUUGGCUGGGGCUGGGCCUCUCCCCCCCGGCUUAUAUAUCCUAACGGGCCGGGAGUCCUAGUCGGACACGAUCCUAGGUCGGUUCGUUUUUUUAUAUAUUACGCGCGGAAGAAAAAAAUAAAAAGAAAUACUAAACAGACUCCAAAAAUUCCGAAAUAAAUUUUUAGGGGCUUCUAAAAUCAAGCCGCACAAGGUGAACAUUUAUUUAGGGCCUAAAUGCAAGUUUGAAAAACGCACAUUUUUCCUAAAUUCAAAUAAAAUAACGAAAAACCGAAAUAAAAUCUUAUUUGAUUUUAUUAUUAAAUCCUCAAUAUUUCUUUAUUUUGGGAAAGUCAUUUUAUUUGCUCUCUCAUAUUUUUGUAAUAGAAGUAAUUGAUGAUAAAAUAAAUAAAAUCAAAUGAUCUUAUUCUCAAAAUUUGAGAAAACUCAAAUACGAAAAUAAUGAAAUCCCCAACUCUCUCCGUGGGUCUUUGAGUUGCGUAGAAUUUCUAGGAUCAACCAAAAUGCAAAAUAAAAUAUGAUAUGCAUAGAUGAUCUAAUGUAUAACAUUCCAAAUUGAAAAUUUGGGAUGUUACAUAGGGUUAUUUUUAUGCUCAUUAUUGUUGAUUAUUAGCUAAGUUCUCUCAAACUAAAAGUUUUCCAUGCUUUCAUUCAUGAAAGCGAAUGGUUGGGUACUUGUGACCCAAAAGAUGAUCAAGAAAGGUCAUAACGUGAGAUAGUAUGUUCUCUCUAAAGAAUGGUUUCAAAAGAAAAGAGAUUGAUCAUUGAGAGUCUUGGUUGACGAAUGUCUUUCAUGUACUCUCUAUGAUUUCAGAUAAAACAAGCAACAUGCGUGUUUAAUUUGACCAACGUCGGAUCAAGCAUGUGUGUCAAAGAGCAUUAGGAUUUAUUCCUAAAUUUGAUGAUUGAAUAAUGCAGUCAAAAGAGCCAAUUCUGGCAUUUAUGUCCCUUACAAGGAAUUACCCGCAUGGCGGAAAAAGAUGAUUAUGAUAAAACCCGCAUGGCAGGAAAAGUCUGGGAAAAUACGUGUGUAACGGGGUAAACUUGACAUAAUAUUAUGUCAAAAUCUCUUAUGGAGGGAGAAAUUCUGGCAAAGGACUUAUCCUGUAUGAUAGGAGAAAGAUAUGAUGACUCAUGUGCUUUUAAUGUGUCCCACUCUGGGAGAAAAGUAUGGAGUAGCUAUUAUGCUUUCCUAGUAUCGACUGUACACCUUGUGUGAACGGUCAUUAACCACUCAAUAAAUCCAAAGAGAAUAAAAGUGAGAGACGAACCUAAAGAUAAGAUUGAUAUGCAAGUGUGACUUGCAAAAGUACUAAUAAUAAAGAACUUUGUUGAGUUUCUAAAAUGGAAUGAGGAAAAAGUACUCCCAUAUCAGUUAACAGAUAACUUCAUUUCGCAUGAAGUAAUCAGAUGAAUGAAAUAUAUUGAAGUUUCCUCAAUUCACAAAAGUUAUGAAUGGUUUUCGAAAUUGUGGCAGAAAGAAAUAUUAGAUAAAUUAAGAAUGAUGAAACUCCCCUAUACUUUAGAUGAUGUGAUGCACAUUAUGCAUCUAAAGUGAUCCAUUAAUGAAGAAUGUGAUCGUCUGGGGGAGUACGACGGUCGGAAUAAUACCCCUAAAGAACAGAAAUAGUUGUAUUCCUAGAUCUUUUAUAGUUUCGACAGCAGACUAAGGAAUACUAAGGCGGUGCUUAAAAGUGCUAUAAAGAAGAAAGUUUUAACAGAAUAAACCCAAAUAAUAAAGUUUAAAGAUACCCCAUUUUAGUGAAGAUGGAGUAAUCUGGGGGAGCAUGGUAUGAAAAUACCAAAGACUAUAGAAUAAAUUUGCCUCUUGGCAAUGACAGAGCAACAACAGCCACAUAUGAAAGAAGUGCCAGUACCUGAGACACAGAUGGUCUCAAGGAAUGAGAAAAUCUGAUACUUCUGAUUACUAUAAAGUCUAUGUUAGCGAAAUUCAAAUGGAGAUUGAGUCCACCUCAUUUAAAGUGCUCAAUCGAGCUUUGAGAAGUGUAUGUUUGUCUAAAUGAUAAGAGACUAUAUGAGAUGAAAUAAAAUUGGUGAAUCCCAAUGAUGUUUGGGACUCAUAAGUAAUUUCCAAUGGUGCAUAAACAGUAGGCUAUAAAAGGUCUACAAGGUCAAUGUGUUUCCAAAGGAAAGAUUUUGUGCAAAGAGAAUGAAUAGAUUACAAUGAGUGUUAGUGGCACAUCAUGAUCGACAUCAUGAUCUGAGUUACAUCAGAUGAAACUAAAGAACACAAGGGAUACUACUUCAAGAAGUUUUUAUGGACUAGAGCAAGUCUCUAGACAGUGGCAUUUAAAGUUAAAAGAAUGAGAUGUUAUUUUGGGUUAAAGAAAAUGAGAGGACAAUUGUAUUCAUGGAAAGUUAUAGAAUAGGAAAUUCAUCCUAAUCCUGUGCAUGUGGAUGGCGUCCUACUUGCUAGUGGUCAUGUCAAUCUACUGCAGGAGGAAAAAAGAAGUUCUUGUCCUCAAAGUUCAAAAGAAUGUUCUCGGUAGAGUGUCUCUCGUUAUAAUUAUCGAGAUUCACCAAGAAAAGAAUAAAAGGGGGUAUUCGGAAUGUCGCAUGGACAUGCUAAGAAAGGUCUCUAAAGUAUGCAUGCGAGAAAACCUACGCCCGUUCUUAUAGUCAAGGGUAAUGGAACCAGAAACUAUGGUGUUCCAAAAGUUGAUGAGAAAAGAUUGAAAACGGAUAUGGUACCAUAUGCUUCAGCUGUUGGAAGUUUAAUGAAUGCAAAAGUAUGAUUUUACCCUAAUGUAGUUCACGUAUCCGGGUUGUUUUGGCAAUGUCCAGUCCAUAUAUAGACCACUAGAAUGGAGUCAAAGAUAUCGGCCUCAUGCUGAAAGAAAUAAGUUCUCUCAAAAUAUUGUGAGUACAAAGACAGGACUUGUGAAAUGUAUAGCAAAAUCGACAAUUGUCGCUAACUUUCACACUUGGAGUUUUGGUGUGGAAAUGCUCCAAAGAAUGAAACAAUUAUCAUCAAUGUGAUUCAAAUAUAUGUUAUAGCUUGAUAUGAGGCUGAGGGACAGGCAAAAUGGUUAUGAAGACCUGUACCCGGAGUUGAUAAUGGUUGAUAACAACGAUAACCAUUUUAAGCUUUUCGCUCCUAUGACAACGAGUCAAGUGUUGAUGCCAAACACACUGACAUAGAGUUAUGCGUUGUAAAGGAGAAAGUCCGGAAUUAUGUAGAAAUGCUUGAAUUAUAAAAGAAACAGAUAAGUGUUUGUAGAUCUGCUUAUUAAAGGCUUACCGCCCAGUGUGUUCGGAGGACACACAGUCGACAUGGGUUUUAUGGACAAUAAAGGGCCCAAGGUUAAAGAAUUUGUUUCAAAACAGAGAGGUACGUUGUGGCUGUCUGAUUCUAUCGGCAAUUGAGCUGUGACGAUGAAACAUGUUCUAUGUAUUGAUCUGUUAUGAAAUGAGUAAAGUAAAAGUAUAAGGUCAAAAGUAAAAGUUGAGAUCAAGGGGGAGAAUGUUAGGAUGAUCUCCACCGUGUGGGCCCAAUGGCCCACCGGGCCCUUAGAUCCGCGCCCUAAUCGGGGCGCUCAACCCACUAUGGUUGACGGCCCCCUGUCACCUGCACUAUAUAAAGAGAUGGGGGUCAGCGGCUCGCACCACGAGGUUCGUCGCAACGCGGUACACCCCACCUAAUCCCCUACCGAUCUAGGGUUAGUGCAGUGCUGAUGGGAAGCGCCGCCACCACCUUGCCCACUACUCUCUGCCAUCACCGGCCACUGUCACCAUGGCCGGCCCCGGUGGCUCCUCGAGCCACAAGGAAAAGGUAAUACUCCCAUACCACUACCAGAAUCCCCAUGCCCACUGGAUCAACAGAUCCUAUCAA